AUAAUACUUGUUUGUUAUUCCCUGUAAAGUUUAUUUUCUUAACUCAUUUUCGUGCCUUUAUAUUUUCCAAUUCGGUAGGGCCAUCUGGAAACGAGUAACUGUCCUUCCAAAUCGUUGAUAGCAAUUGACCGUACCCUCAUUAGGUACGUUCUAGGUUUCCUGCUUUUAAUCAUAUGUGACACCUAGGUGUGGGUGAUCGCACUCGCAGGAAAAUAGUACUGCAGGAAUCGUGAAUGAAUGAUAUUCAUUUCGCGAAGUUUUCUUAGGAGAGUGUUGUAAUUCGAUGGAACUGUGAGAGGGAGGCGAAAAUCAUCUAUUUUUGGAGUGUGUUUCAAAAUGAACGACAGGCAGGUCUAACGGUUGAGGGAGUGCAACAAUUUUUAUUGUUACCCACGUUGGGGAUUCUACUUCUGAUAUCAAAAUAGUGAUUGAAGUGCCUCUUUGAUUUUGGUCAUUGAUGUAGUUAUUGUUGAGGACUAUCACGAACCGUUUAAGGGAUUUAUUUGACCGGAGCCGUUCAAUUUCAAUUGCUGCUACUAUAAAAAAAAACUACAAAGGUGGAAAAAUUCCAGUUACACCUAUUGGGACGGAUUUCUCAAAGUGUUCACAUCACUAGAAGGGAAGUUGAGAAUUUUCUCCAUUCUUUUUAAACGAUCCAUUGUGAGUUGGAGGUGUUAUUUGGGACAAAAAAAAAAUAAUAAACCAACGCCCAGGAAUUUUGCUGGUCUACUUUUUUUUCCUCUUUGGAAGAAACAAAAAAAACCCUUCUGAGAAGGUAAGAAUAGUACAGUAUUUCACUACAUUAUUUUUCCCAGUUCCACAUAUGAAAUAAAAAUUAUCAAGUUCUUUUAUUUUAUUUCAAUUUUCUAUUUAUAGAAAAAAAUAAUGAAAUUUUUUUUUAUUUUUGCUAAUUGAAUUAUACCAAGUAAAUGUUUUCAGAAUUUAGUUGACCUUGAAAUUUCUACAGUACGAAUCAAAUACACAUUUUUGUUCAAACUUCUUGAGUUAGUUCUACAUGAUUUAUAUAGUGAACAUUUGAUUAUUUAUAAUAUAAAGUUGUGGGUAUUCGAUUUUUUUUGAGAUUCAUUACAAGAUCAGCUAAGUGUACAAUUUAAUUUAUUGAUUUUUAUUAUAAAUUUUACUCAAUAAUGACUUGUAUAAUUCGCUAAAUAAUAUCUACAAAAUAUUUUUCGAUAUUUGAUCAAGUUGCAUAUGGGGUGAUACAGAUAUUUCUUGUUGUUUUUGAUUUAAUUAUUAUUGGGAAACAUUUUGGGGAUUUCAUAUUUGAAUUCACUUACAGGGUGGGAAUUCAAUAUAAGGAAAAUAUGUUAAUAUUUUUCGUUCUUACUUGCGUUCGAUUUUUUUUUUCAAACAAUCACUGGUUUUAUAAUUGAAUAAUUUGUUCUUGUUUUGUUAACACAGAAGGGAUUUUAAGAAAGUAUGUAAGAAGAACAAGGAUAAUAUUUUUUUUUAAUUUCUCAGUUUGGAAUAGGGCACUUUAGGGGUUUAUUGAGUAAAUCAUACAGAGUGAUUUAUAUAGGGCAAUUUUUGGGUUUUACACAAGGAAUAAGGAACUCUCAAUUAAUUAUAAUUUUAAUUAUAAUUUGCUUACGUUAAGAGGGUUACAUUGAAACGGGACUCAGUAUUUUGACUAGUUCUCUGAAAAUUCAAAAAGGGAGUCAGUUCCUGAUCAUCUUUUUUUCUUUUUAAGGGUUUUUUUUUUGGUUGGCUUGGGAUUUGAUCUACACGAUUUGAUAUAACCUUGAGCCAUACCUACCGGAAACGGAGUCAGCGUCUUAUGCCCCAGCACGCAAGUACCUAGAUAAGAGGGUUAAGAAUUUUUUUUGUGAUCUAGUGAUAUACUUAUUAAGAUCCAUUUAUCAACUAUACCACUAAUUAUUUCAUGGAAAGCGGAAA